GGCCUUGCAGUUGAACUAUAACGAUGGUUCUUCGAAUCGUUGGUCUCGGUUAGGGUCCGAGCGGGGAUU
rnacentral:tRNA from 1 species